AGACCAGUUCACAGUCUCAGACGGGUUCAGGUCUACAGAGAGUCAGACGGGUUCAGGACUACAGAGAGUCAGACGGGUUCAGGUCUACAGAGAGUCAGACGGGUUCAGAGAGUCAGACGGGUUCAGGUCUACAGAGAGUCAGACGGGUUCAGGUCUACGGAGAGUCAGACGGGUUCAGAGAGUCAGACGGGUUCAGGUCUACAGAGAGUCAGACGGGUUCAGAGAGUCAGACGAGUUCAGAGAGUCAGACGGGUUCAGGUCUACGGAGAGUCAGACGGGUUCAGGACUACAGAGAGUCAGACGGGUUCAGGACUACAGAGAGUCAGACGGGUCUACAGAGAGUCAGACGGGUUCAGGUCUACAGAGAGCUGAAGAUGAAGAUGAUGAUGAUGAUGGUUCUGGUUCUCUGGUUCUCCUGUGUGUCUGCUGACGUUCUUCAUGAGGACAUUGCUAUCGAUGGCUGUUCAGACUCUGAUGGAGAGGUGAUGUACGGUCUGGAUGGUGAAGAGAAAUGGGUCGCAGACUUCAUCAACAAGAAAGGAGUGGAGCCUCAACCCAACUUCAUAGAUCAUAUGAGCUACGUGGAAGGAACUUAUGAAAAUGCUGUGGCUAAUCAACAGAUCUGCAGACAGAACCUGAAGGUGGCUCUCCAGGCCUAUAAGAACCCUCCUCUGCAGCUCGAUCCUCCUUCCAGUCCGAUGAUCUACACCAGAGACAACGUGGAGCUCGGAGAGAAGAACACCCUCAUCUGUCAUGUGACUGGUUUCUAUCCUGCUCCUGUAAAGGUCUACUGGACCAAGAACGGAAAGAACGUGACUGAAGGAACCAGCAUCAAUGUUCCCUACCUGAACACAGACACCACCUUCACCCAGACGUCCAGACUGGAGUUCAUCCCACAGCUGGGAGACAUGUACAGCUGUUCAGUGAAACAUCUGUCUCUGAAAGACCCACUGACCCGAUUCUGGGGUGAGACAACUUUAUUUAAAUUCACUCAAAAUACAAACAGACACUUUACUAACUGACCAUGGUACACAUCUGUCUCCAGAUGUGGAGGUGUAACAUCAGUAGGUUAAUGUUUCUGUCUCCAGAUGUGGAGGUGUAGCUGCAGUGUGUUAAUGUUUCUGUCUCCAGAUGUGGAGGUGUAGCUGCAGUGUGUUAAUGUUUCUGUCUCCAGAUGUGGAGGUGUAGCUGCAGUGUGUUAAUGUUUCUGUCUCCAGAUGUGGAGGUGUAGCUGCAGUGUGUUAAUGUUUCUGUCUCCAGAUGUGGAGGUGUAGCUGCAGUGUGUUAAUGUUUCUGUCUCCAGAUGUGGAGAAGCCUGAACCCAGUAUUGGACCUGCA